rnacentral:rRNA from 1 species
GACGAACGCUGGCCGCGUGCUUAACACAUGCAAGUCGAACGGAAAGGCCCUGCUUUUGUGGGGUGCUCGAGUGGCGAACGGGUGAGUAACACGUGAGUAACCUGCCCUUGACUUUGGGAUAACUUCAGGAAACUGGGGCUAAUACCGGAUAGGAGCUCCUGCUGCAUGGUGGGGGUUGGAAAGUUUCGGCGGUUGGGGAUGGACUCGCGGCUUAUCAGCUUGUUGGUGGGGUAGUGGCUUACCAAGGCUUUGACGGGUAGCCGGCCUGAGAGGGGGACCGGCCACAUUGGGACUGAGAGACGGCCCAGACUCCUACGGGAGGCAGCAGUGGGGAAUAUUGCACAAUGGGCGGAAGCCUGAUGCAGCAACGCCGCGUGCGGGAUGACGGCCUUCGGGUUGUAAACCGCUUUCGCCUGUGACGAAGCGUGAGUGACGGUAAUGGGUAAAGAAGCACCGGCUAACUACGUG